GCUAAGGAUUUUGCUUUGCAAACUCUCCUGAAUCGGGCAAGUUUACGUUAGAAACUAAACAUAGUAUCGGAGUCAGCUAUGCAGGGCUGCUCGGGUUUCGCGGGCCCGGCAGUCUCCCAAGCUCAAGGCGCCAGCGAAUUAAGCCACAUCGCUCGAGCUCCAAGUUUGGGCACAGGAGCGAAUCUCGCGUCUGGGCCAGCAUCUGGGCCACUUUCGGCCGUGGUCUUGGGUCUAGGAGCUGGCCCUUGAGCUCGGAAGUGGGGAUCUGGCCGGUACACCUGCCCAGUGCCAUGAAGAUUUUCUGGCCUGCUUUGUUUACUAAAGUAUCCCAAGAGGCACCCAAUACAUAUGGAAGGACUGAAUAGCUGGAAGGCAAAGCAUCAAGGGACUUGUAGAAACAGGAAGCCAACAGGGUACACAGGGACCACAUCCCGACAGGCUUCUAGGCCACGCUUCUGAAGGUCAGUGGGACCACUCGUAUGUCUUAAGUAUGGGAUUAAGAUGUUCAGAAUUGUAUUCUUUUAAAAUCGCUCUGGCAAUAGUAUUGAGGAUUAGCAGAGGGUAGGCCUGGUAGAAGAGAUCAGGAUUGCUGACAGAUGGUAAGGCCACUCACAGACAUAAGAAGACAGGAGAAGAAAUAGUUUGGAGGGUGGGGGUGGCAAUGAUGAGGAAUGACAGUCGCCGUUUGGGACAUUCUGAGAUGGUGGAUUAGAAGACAGUACUUUACUAAAACACAGCACAAAGGGACAAAAGGGAAAAAAAUCAAAGCGCUAUCAGGAUCACGAAGGCUGUAUUAAGAUGGUACAGUGCAUGUUUAGUAGGAAAUACAGAACAAGAUAAAAUGAGAAUGAUGGAAAAAAAUAUUAGAGAUAAUGACUGAGUUUUCUGGAAUUGAAAGAGAGUCAAAAAUCUUCAUUCAGAUAGGAAGUGCACUCUGAAUAUCAAGCAGGAAAAACAAAAUCGAGGCUAAGUCAUAUCACAGUGCAGAACACCCCACAGAAAAGAAAAAUGAUGACAGCUGCCAGAGAAAAACACGGAGUGGCCACAGUGGAGCAAUGAUCAGGCUGGCUGCAGGCUUUCUUCCAGCAACAUGAUGAGGGACCUGAAACUUAAAAGAGGUCAGUGACCUGGCCAAGGUCAGACAAUGGGUAAGAAGAAAAAGGAAUCUGAUGCGGGUCUGUAUGACUUCAAGCCUGAGGUUUUACCCUCUAUGCUGCCUUGAUUGGAAGCGUACUUACUGUUGAUGAGGAUGACUGUGUUAAUAAUUUAAAGUGGGAACAUUUACUUGACGUGUCGACUUUUUUGUUCUCGUUGUUCUUCCCAGUAAAUGAGACUCUUCUAUGGUUUCUUGCAGACUUUCCAAAAAAGGCUUAAUUCCUCUGAAAUCAGUGCUUUGGGAAAAUAUCUACCUUGUCCGCCAUCUACAAGUGUGUUAGGACUUUUGAUUCUGAGUUCCUCCUUCCCCUGGGGAAAUAAUGGUAGAUGAUUUCCAUGGGUAGUUUCCAUUUCACAUGACUCAUCAACAUUUGACACAGAACACUUCUUUUUCAUUGCCCCACAGAGUGCCAAUUCAGUAGCGCAUGAAAGCAUUACCCAGUAAUCCUUGAAGGGCCAAAGAGCCAAAGGUCAGGUUCCUUAUUUGGCUUUAUCAAGGUCAGUAUUCUUCAGGGUCUACUGUGUGCUACACAAUUCAUUACUUGCCCCAGGAUAAAGAAAGAACCGUGAUGUUAAGGAGGACAUGUUUCCAAGAGUGCCUUAUUCUAUUAGUACUCACAGUAUCUCCAGGCAUGUCAUAUGUUUUCGAUAAAAUCUUAGUUAAGACAGUAAACUUUAUUUAAGAAUGCUUGGGCAAAGAUGGUAGAAAAAAUAAGGGAGUUUUAGGAAGUGGUUAUAUGAUGAAAGUGGUCUUGUAGUUGAAACUCAGCCAGUCGGAUGUUGUUAGCAAAUUUUUUCAUGGUUUGCUACAUCCAGAAUGAAAUUUUCUCAGUACAUAUAGUUGAAGUGGCCAGAUUAACUAUAGACAGAUUAGAUCAUGUUUGGGUAGAUUGGCCCACUAAAAGUUAUUGUCCAAGGCAGGAGAGAACACUGAAUAAAAUAUUUAAUAUUCUUUCUAUUUUAUAUUCUUUUCAUACAAAAUGCUCCAUGUAUCUAGUAUGACAUUAAAACAUUACAAAGGAAUGAACUUCUAAACCUCCAAACCGGAUAGUACGAAGUAUUAAAAACAGGAAAAUCGGGGCUGGGUGCAGUGGCUCCAACAACUGUAAUCACAGCACUUGGGGAGGCCGAGAUGGGAGGAGAACUUGAGGUCAGUAGCUUGAGACCAGCCUGAGCAACAGAGGAACCCAUCUCUACAAAAAACAGAAAAGUUAGCUGUGUGUGGUGGCAUGCAUCUGUUGUUGUUCCAGCUCCUUGGGAAGCUCAAGUGGGGGAAUCACUCGAGCCCAGGAGUCCAAGAUUAUAGUGAGCUGCCAUCAGGCCAUUGCACUCCAGCCUGCUGAGUGACAGGAUGAGACCUUGUCUUUAAGGAAACAAACAAACAAAAAUUCCAGGAAAAUUGGCCACGGAAUAAAAACUAUUAGUAGAUUUUCCAAUAGUGAAAGAAAUAAUUAUUUAUGAAAUAUAGUUGAACAAUAGAAUAUUAAAACUGAGAAAAAUAAUCUCUCAGAGUAUAUGCCACAAUUAACUUGAGGUGAGUUACAGGUGAGCAUACAACUUGAAACAUAAUAAACUGAAUGGAAUAAAAUUGUAUAAGUAUCUUCAUUGGAGAGAGAAAUGUGAAUUUUUUUAAAUGGCUUUAACUAAGGUAUCACUGGUAUACAUAAACUACACAUAUUUAAACUGAUGUGACACGUGUUGACACACGUGCUCACUUGUAAAGCCAACACUGCGAUCCAGGUAAUAUCCACCCCCCUGAGUUUUCUCAAGCCCCUCUGUGGCCCAUCCCUCCCACAUCUUUCCACGUCUGCCCCCGCCCCAGCAACCUCUGAUCUGCUUUCUGUUACUGUGGUUGCACAAAUAUAAGUUUUGGACUGGUGAAAAUUGUGGUUAUAUGAUUGAUGUUUCUACUUUUAUAAAAGUCAAAAGAUAAUGCAAAAAAGCAAGGAAAUAAAUGAAAUGGAAACUUGUGUGAUAAAUACAACAAAUAAAAGCUUAACAGCCAGAAUGUAAAAAGUUUAAUAGAAGCAGUAUUUUAUUUUGGCUUGCUUGAUAGCAAGGAACAGAGACACAGUCCCGUUAGCUAAAAAAUAAAAAGGAUACAUAUUUUAGCAAGAUACUAUAACUGGAUCUAACCUGGAUAGCUGCUGAAAACAGAGGUAGCUUGAGGGCUUGGCUCUUCAGUUUUUCUUUUGUGGGCCAAAUGGCCACUUUCAGAUUGCACCUCUGCUUCUCUAAGACGUUUAUUUUGCUUAUGCUCUACGGACUGUCCUCCUCUGCUAACCUAAAUUUGUGCUUCCCUCGUAACCUCAGCCUGCCAUGGGUUAUCUGAUUCUAAAGAUACUCUUUAUUCUCAUGGCCUUCCCUUGAUUGAGCCCUUUUGACUUUUGCUCUUUCUAUUAUUCACAUCCAGUAUUUCCAAAUUCAAAUUCUCAAGGGAGGAAAAAGAUUGGCUUGCCUCACCUUUUUGCCCAGGCCAUUCCCUGUAGGUUGCUGGCUGGGAUACACACCAGUUA